GACGAACGCUGGCGGCGUGCUUAACACAUGCAAGUCGAACGGAAAGGCCCCAGCUUGCUGGGGUACUCGAGUGGCGAACGGGUGAGUAACACGUGGGUGAUCUGCCCUGCACUCUGGGAUAAGCCUGGGAAACUGGGUCUAAUACCGGAUAGGACCGUGCUUUAGUGUGUGCGGUGGAAAGUUUUUCGGUGCAGGAUGAGCCCGCGGCCUAUCAGCUUGUUGGUGGGGUAAUGGCCUACCAAGGCGGCGACGGGUAGCCGGCCUGAGAGGGUGUACGGCCACAUUGGGACUGAGACACGGCCCAGACUCCUACGGAAGGCAGCAGUGGGGAAUACUGCACAAUGGGCGCAAGCCUGAUGCAGCGACGCCGCGUGGGGGAUGACGGCCUUCGGGUUGUAAACCCCUUUCGGCAGGGACGAAGCUUUUGUGACGGUACCUGCAUAAGAAGCACCGGCUAACUACGUG
rnacentral:rRNA from 1 species